rnacentral:ribozyme from 1 species
GGUCAAGAGAGGGAGGCCAUAGCAGAAGCACUCAUAGCGCGGCCCUGUCAGAUUCCAACAAAUCUGCACAAUCAUGCU